GAUGAACGCUGGCGGCGUGCCUAAUACAUGCAAGUCGAGCGAACGGACGAGAAGCUUGCUUCUCUGAUGUUAGCGGCGGACGGGUGAGUAACACGUGGAUAACCUACCUAUAAGACUGGGAUAACUUCGGGAAACCGGAGCUAAUACCGGAUGAUAUUUUGAACCGCAUGGUUCAAAAGUUAAAGACGGUCUUGCUGUCACUUAUAGAUGGAUCCGCGCUGCAUUAGCUAGUUGGUAAGGUAACGGCUUACCAAGGCAACGAUGCAUAGCCGACCUGAGAGGGUGAUCGGCCACACUGGAACUGAGACACGGUCCAGACUCCUACGGGAGGCAGCAGUAGGGAAUCUUCCGCAAUGGGCGAAGGCCUGACGGAGCAACGCCGCGUGAGUGAUGAAGGUCUUCGGAUCGUAAAACUCUGUUAUUAGGGAAGAACAUAUGUGUAAGUAACUGUGCACAUCUUGACGGUACCUAAUCAGAAAGCCACGGCUAACUACGUG
rnacentral:rRNA from 1 species